UUAGAGAGAGAAAGGGAGGUUUUCUCCUUUCCUUUCCAUGCGUGUGUUGUGUGUGUGUGUGCGGGUUGUGUACGCACGGUUGAGGGAGGAGAAGAAGGGAUUAAGUCCCUUUUACAAUUUAGUCCCACAACAAUUACACUAUUCGCCUCGGGCAGCGGUUUAGCAGUUCGGAACAGUUGGAGCCCUUCUGAACGUCCGUUUGCUCUCAAAUUUGACAGGCAGGCUCAGUUUAACGUACUGAGUAAGAAUAUAUCUUAAGUUUUCAGUUUCGACCCCGUUUGGUCACUGAAAACUGUACCGAACUCUAAUCUUUAUCAGAUAACUGUCGGAUUUUAUUUCUCACUCUACGGGUGUCAGAAAAAUAUAAAACCUUAAAUCUAGCCUCAUAAAAAUAUUUCUGAUUUAUCCUCCAAUUUUCAUAAUUUUCUGAGACUGUGCAUUUUCUGCUAAUUUAUCUGUCCCGUUUCCAACAGAAAAUUCUAAAUCUUCUGUUUUCGCUCCGAUUUCAGCACAGGUCAUUCCCAACCUAUAUUUCACUUCUCUAAAUCCAAUAAAAUAAUAUCUCAUACUAUUUUUAUUUAUUUUUACUUUUAUAUUUAAAAUCCGGUAUGUUACAUUCCAGCGCAACCUCACCGGAACCAUUUAAAUGUACACCGUAACAUCAUAAUUUU
rnacentral:lncRNA from 1 species